rnacentral:rRNA from 1 species
UGGGGAAUAUUGCGCAAUGGGGGCAACCCUGACGCAGCCAUGCCGCGUGAAUGAAGAAGGCCUUCGGGUUGUAAAGUUCUUUCGGUAUCGAGGAAGGCAUUUAGUUUAAUAGACUAGGUGAUUGACGUUAACUACAGAAGAAGCACCGGCUAACUCCGUGCCAGCAGCCGCGGUAAUACGGAGGGUGCGAGCGUUAAUCGGAAUAACUGGGCGUAAAGGGCACGCAGGCGGUGACUUAAGUGAGGUGUGAAAGCCCCGGGCUUAACCUGGGAAUUGCAUUUCAUACUGGGUCGCUAGAGUACUUUAGGGAGGGGUAGAAUUCCACGUGUAGCGGUGAAAUGCGUAGAGAUGUGGAGGAAUACCGAAGGCGAAGGCAGCCCCUUGGGAAUGUACUGACGCUCAUGUGCGAAAGCGUGGGGAGCAAACA